AAGUCGUAACAAGGUUUCCUUCCCGGCGGUGCACCCGCUGAAGCCUCCCGCCGCGACUCUAAACAAACGCGUCAGUCCGCCCCGCGGGCGACACCACGAUCCUACUGGGACCUCGGCACCCGUCCCCGACGGUGUUGAAACCAGUGGCCUGUCYCAACAGGUUCACAGAUCAGACAGUGGUGGCCAAGCUGUUGGUUAAGAUAUGACCGGUCUCCGCUGUGACCAGCGGGAGAGAACACGUUCCGUAGGUGAACCUGCGGAAGGAUCAUUA
rnacentral:rRNA from 1 species